rnacentral:lncRNA from 1 species
CCGGGAUUGGGCUUUAUAUAGACCAAUCCUCUGUCCAGAAGUGGGGGGGGGGGCAUGGUCCCUCCCUAACACGGGAUUGGGCCAAUUUAAGGGCAAUCCCCCACCAGGAAAUAGGGAGCAUGGUCCCUCCCCAGCACAAGAUUGGUCCAUUUGAGACCAAUCCCACACCAGGAAGUAGGAAGGUGGGACCCCAGGGGCAUGCUGGGGGCUGCAUUCCCCCCACCCCCAGAAUAUUUUAAAACCCACAAGGUCAGCAGGUGAGGUCUAUGACACCAGCGUGGGGACCAGCCCAGAGUGAACAAGGUGACAGUACCAGCUGAGGCUACUGGAGGUGACUACGACAGCAAAGGCAGAAGCUUUGGGAGCCCUCAGCCCAGAGAUGAACAUUACAAAAAUCAUUCUUUUACUUGAAUUUCUGGAAUUUGCUGACUACAUUUCUGGUUCUUCCUCUGGAAUAGCAUCCAAAUUUAUAAAGGAGAAACUAGUGGAGCUCAAGGAUGAAAUAGAUAGUAAAACUAUACUAGUGGGAGAACUGAACUUUCCUCUAUCAAAUAUAGAUAAGUCAAACCAAAAAAUAAAUAAGAAAGAGAUUGUAACCUGUGAGCAGGGAUGCUACUCCCCCAAAGCCCUGGUCACAAAUCAUCAUGAACAUGAAGGUAUCAGGAAGAGACUGGAAACUAUUAAUCUACCUCCUCAUUAG